rnacentral:rRNA from 1 species
AGAGUUUGAUCAUGGCUCAGGACAAACGCUGGCGGCGUGCCUAAUACAUGCAAGUCGAGCGGAUCUUACCUUCGGGUAAGGUUAGCGGCGGACGGGUGAGUAACACGUGGGUAACCUGCCCAUAAGACUGGGAUAACAUUCGGAAACGAAUGCUAAUACCGGAUACGCGAAGCGGUCGCAUGAUCGAAUCGGGAAAGGCGGAGCAAUCUGCCACUUAUGGAUGGACCCGCGGCGCAUUAGCUAGUUGGUGGGGUAACGGCUCACCAAGGCGACGAUGCGUAGCCGACCUGAGAGGGUGAUCGGCCACACUGGGACUGAGACACGGCCCAGACUCCUACGGGAGGCAGCAGUAGGGAAUCUUCCGCAAUGGACGAAAGUCUGACGGAGCAACGCCGCGUGAGUGAUGAAGGUUUUCGGAUCGUAAAGCUCUGUUGCCAGGGAAGAACGCUUGCGAGAGUAACUGCUCGUAAGGUGACGGUACCUGAGAAGAAAGCCCCGGCUAACUACGUGCCAGCAGCCGCGGUAAUACGUAGGUGGCAAGCGUUGUCCGGAAUUAUUGGGCGUAAAGCGCGCGCAGGUGGUUUCUUAAGUCUGAUGUGAAAGCCCACGGCUCAACCGUGGAGGGUCAUUGGAAACUGGGAGACUUGAGUGCAGAAGAGGAUAGUGGAAUUCCAAGUGUAGCGGUGAAAUGCGUAGAGAUUUGGAGGAACACCAGUGGCGAAGGCGACUAUCUGGUCUGUAACUGACACUGAGGCGCGAAAGCGUGGGGAGCAAACAGGAUUAGAUACCCGGUGU